rnacentral:rRNA from 1 species
GAGUUUGAUCAUGGCUCAGGAUGAACGCCGACAGAAUGCUUAACACAUGCAAGUCUACUUGAUCCUUCGGGUGAAGGUGGCGGACGGGUGAGUAACGCGUAAAGAACUUGCCUUACAGACUGGGACAACAUUUGGAAACGAAUGCUAAUACCGGAUAUUAUGAUUGGGUCGCAUGAUCUGGUUAUGAAGGCUAUAUGCGCUGUGAGAGAGCUUUGCGUCCCAUUAGUUAGUUGGUGAGGUAACGGCUCACCAAGGCGAUGAUGGGUAGCCGGCCUGAGAGGGUGAACGGCCACAAGGGGACUGAGACACGGCCCUUACUCCUACGGGAGGCAGCAGUGGGGAAUAUUGGACAAUGGACCAAAAGUCUGAUCCAGCAAUUCUGUGUGCACGAUGAAGUUUUUCGGAAUGUAAAGUGCUUUCAGUUGGGAAGAAGUCAGUGACGGUACCAACAGAAGAAGCGACGGCUAAAUACGUGCCAGCAGCCGCGGUAAUACGUAUGUCGCAAGCGUUAUCCGGAUUUAUUGGGCGUAAAGCGCGUCUAGGCGGCUUAGUAAGUCUGAUGUGAAAAUGCGGGGCUCAACCCCGUAUUGCGUUGGAAACUGCUAAACUAGAGUACUGGAGAGGUAGGCGGAACUACAAGUGUAGAGGUGAAAUUCGUAGAUAUUUGUAGGAAUGCCGAUGGGGAAGCCAGCCUACUGGACAGAUACUGACGCUAAAGCGCGAAAGCGUGGGUAGCAAACAGGAUUAGAUACCCUGGUAGUCCACGCCGUAAACGAUGAUUACUAGGUGUUGGGGGUCGAACCUCAGCGCCCAAGCUAACGCGAUAAGUAAUCCGCCUGGGGAGUACGUACGCAAGUAUGAAACUCAAAG